UUUAUGAGGAGAUUCAGCACAGACACAAUCACUUCACUCAGAGGGGGAGUCUCAUCUCUGAAGAACUGCAUUCUGGGUAUGAAGAUGCUGAUGAGCUUCUCUCAGCAAAAGAGUUCAAUACUGCAUAUUAUGAUGAUGUCACCAAUGGCAGUGGCCUAAAAGAAGAGAUGAUGAAGGAAAUCACACCGGGAUACUAUGAUGAUGUCAUCACUGAUGGACUGAAACCAGAUCGUGAGAGAGGUGUCAC